rnacentral:rRNA from 1 species
UGCAGUCGACGAUGCCUUCGGGCAUAGUGGCGCACGGGUGCGUAACGCGUGGGAAUCUGCCCCUUGGUUCGGAAUAACAGUUGGAAACGACUGCUAAUACCGGAUGACGACGUUAAGUCCAAAGAUUUAUCGCCGAGGGAUGAGCCCGCGUAGGAUUAGCUAGUUGGUGUGGUAAAGGCGCACCAAGGCGACGAUCCUUAGCUGGUCUGAGAGGAUGAUCAGCCACACUGGGACUGAGACACGGCCCAGACUCCUACGGGAGGCAGCAGUGGGGAAUAUUGGACAAUGGGCGAAAGCCUGAUCCAGCAAUGCCGCGUGAGUGAUGAAGGCCUUAGGGUUGUAAAGCUCUUUUACCCGGGAUGAUAAUGACAGUACCGGGAGAAUAAGCUCCGGCUAACUCCGUGCCAGCAGCCGCGGUAAUACGGAGGGAGCUAGCGUUGUUCGGAAUUACUGGGCGUAAAGCGCACGUAGGCGGCUUUGUAAGUUAGAGGUGAAAGCCUGGAGCUCAACUCCAGAAUUGCCUUUAAGACUGCAUCGCUCGAAUCCAGGAGAGGUGAGUGGAAUUCCGAGUGUAGAGGUGAAAUUCGUAGAUAUUCGGAAGAACACCAGUGGCGAAGGCGGCUCACUGGACUGGUAUUGACGCUGAGGUGCGAAAGCGUG